rnacentral:rRNA from 1 species
CCCUUAGAUGCCCUGGGCUGCACGCGCGCUACACUGACACAUUCAACGAGUAUUUCCUUUUCCGAGGGGAUUGGGUAAUCUUCUGAAAGUGUGUCGUGAUGGGGAUAGAUUAUUGCAAUUAUUAAUCUUCAACGAGGAAUUCCUAGUAAGUGCAAGUCAUCAGCUUGCGCUGAUUACGUCCCUGCCCUUUGUACACACCGCCCGUCGCUCCUACCGAUUGAAUGUUCCGGUGAGCUCUUCGGACUGCGCGGUCUGCAGUUUCUGCGUUCCGUGCGGAAAGUUGCGCAAACCUUAACAUUUAGAGGAAGGAGAAGUCGUAACA